rnacentral:tRNA from 1 species
GUGGGAUAAGCUAAUCUCAUAAGCUGUUGGGCUCAUAACCCAAAAAUAGAUAUAUUCUUCCCACC